GACGAACGCUGGCGGCGUGCCUAAUACAUGCAAGUCGAACGCAGUUGCGCACGGGUGAUUAACGCGUCUGUACCUGCCUCAUAGCAGGGGGUCACUAUUGGAAACGAUAGCUAAUACCGCAUACUGUGAUAUGUCCCUGCGUUGUUUUGGCUGUUUUGUGAGGUAAAGGCUCACCAGGGUGGCUAUACAUAGCCGACCUGAGAGGUAGAUCGGACAACCGGGGAGUGAGACACGGCCUACACUACUAAGGGAGGAAGCAGUAGGGAAUCUUCGGGAAUGGAGCGAAGUCGGACCGAGCAAAGCCGCGGGAGUGAAGAAGGUGUUAGGAUCGUAAAGCUAUGUUGUUAGAGAAGCGGUAACUAACCAGAAAGGGACGGCUAACUACGUGCCAGCCGCCGCGGUAAUAC
rnacentral:rRNA from 1 species